AAGUGAAACACAGGGUUUGUUCAGGUAUUUUAUUUUGCUUGUUUCCAUUCCAAAUGUCGUGUACAGCAUUUUGUACCUCCUUGCUUAAUGAGCAAGCAUUUUCAGAAUUGUUACCCUUAUGUCCAGUUUCAGAGUGUGUUUUGCCUUCUAUGAUUAAAAUAUUACUCAUUCUUCAACUCUGCAUAUGUAAAUGGAAAUUGGAGUCAUUGAAGAGCAUGGUUUUAAAUAAUGACUGUUACGUAACGUAACGGCCAUUAUUUAUAGUUUUUUAAGGGGGCCGUUACUCUUUAUCCCAUUAUUUAAAGGCAGAUUCUAAAAUGCCAGAGUAACGGCCAUUACCUCCGCUAUUGAACGGUAAUGGUUGUUAUUUGCGUUAAGUAACGGUAACGACCUUGACUCAAUAAUUUAGCUGAUACAAAUCACAUGGCAGCAGUAUUUUAUGAGAUUUCUUUCAUUCUUUAUGUGUUCCAGCAUUCCAAGCUACUAUUUUUAUUACAUUUUCUCUCAAAAUUUCACUCGAACUUCUCCUUUGUACAAGUCUCUUUCUUAUUCUUUUUUAAGCUAGGAUCAUCAUUAAUAUUUUUAUUCUCCAUAACUACUU
rnacentral:misc_RNA from 1 species